CACACACACACACACACACACACACACACACGCACGUUUUGUUUUUCAGCUCACUGAUCUUAAUUUACUUGCAAAGUCUGUAGGAUUCACAUUGCUGAGGUUUGCCUCCUGGGCAAGGAGAAAAUAGUCUUCUGGGCAAAUUAUAACAUCCAUUAAAGAUUCUAAUCUAUUCUGUUUCUUUUCUUCAUCUUUAGAGAGCUCCUCCUUUAUAUCAUUAUAUUCUUCCUUAAAUACCCGUUAAUAACCAUGCUAUCUUUACUUUUGUCAAAUUUUGGGAAGCAUCUUGUGCUAACUCUUGAGGUGGCAAAGAAUAACUAUAACUGAUUAGGUCAAGCCACAAGAGAUACAUAUUAAAUACAAAUUAAUAUGCCUUCAAGUUUAUCAUCCCCAAAAUAUAAAUAUUGAAUUUUAAGAAUAUUAUAUUUUUCCUAGCCAAAUUCAAUGUACAAGGAGAAGAGUACAUGAUAAAACAGCAUAUGAGAGAUGAAUGCCAAUUACCACCCAAAGGACCAAACACAAAUUUUCAGAAAGAGUAUAAUAUACAAUCAGGAAACUAGAACAAAAUUGUGUUUUCAUUGUAGAGAAACAAUUUAAAUCUUGCUACAUUUACACAUGUUUAUGGAAAAACACAUAGCUGAAUGACUGUCAGUACAGAUGGAUUUGUCUAUAAAUGGGUAAAUUUUGGAAGGAUUUUAAUGAUCCACUCUACUUUCUUUUUAAUGAGCUACAUCAACGUGUUUACCUCAACAAUGUAAUGAAUUCAGAGAAUCUUGAACUUGAAUCCUUAUUUUGGUCUCUUGUGCUUAUGUGUAAAAUUAUAUCCUUUAUAUAUCUACAGGAAAAGGAUACAUUUUCCUACUGUUUUUUUCAUGAGUAUAUUAGAGUAAAUAAAAACAUGAUGAGUAUUAUGAAAAUAAAUUAUUAACUUUAUACCUACUAUGCUGGUCAUAACACUUCAGGAUAUUAAAAUAUAAAAUAUAAAGACCACAGUGGUUUAGUGUAAAGGAGUUUCUUCACAUGUUAAAUAUUUAUAACAUUUUGAAAUUAAAAAUCUAUAAUUGUACAUGAAGAGUCAUAAGAAAAGCAGGUCAUCCUAUUGAUUAGUUACAUAAACUGUAUGAAGAUCUGGAGCAUGGAGAUCUGCAAGGCACAUGUCAAUUUAUACAAAAACUCCAGAUAUUUUAUAUUUUAAUAGCUCAAAUUUCUGAUCCACAAUGACGCUGCUUACACUACUAAAUAACAACAUUUACUAAUUUAAUAAUUUUUUAAAGCACUCAGAGACAAACCUAAUGGGCAGUAUAAACACAGUUUAUCAGUGAAACCUGAAAAACUGGAUGAAAAGAAUGUUUAAGAUUAUAAAGCUCAUUUGAUAUUUGUUGUGUCUCAGGUAUGCGAUUUCAGGUUGUUUUUAAUGUCCACUAGGCUCAUUCAACUUUAUAGAGUAUUUUAUUUCUAUAGUAGUAUGUUAAUGGAUGAGGGUUUCAGUAACACCAAGUAAUUUACUACAGACAGCAACUAUUGCUAUGCAUAAAUGGCCAAAAAUUCAAAUUGAAGUCUAAGUAAUGAGUUUAAUGAGAUUUCCUGUCAGAAAGUGAAUAAAGACUAAGCUUACUUCCAGAAUCUGUGGGCAUGGAAAUAUCCCUGUUUGACCCACAUCUGUAUCAUAGUUAGAUACUAUCACAUGCAUCUUCAAGGAGUGUGAAACAAAUUAUUUUUAUCUUCAUCUAAAGAUAGAGGAAAUGAGUAAGUUAUUUUCAACUUUCUCUCAGUUUCUGACACUUAUACAGUGACCCGAAAACUGAAAAUAUAUCUCAAUUUACAAUUCCAGGAUAGAGACAUAAAAAAUGGAAGAACUCAUCAAAGCAUUCAAAGUUCCUAGUUGAGUUCUCUAGAAAGGACAGGGUGGCAAGUAUUUAGACAGUUUUUCUGUUACUAUGAUCUAAUGGUAACUAAUGAUCAUAGAAAAUGUGUUAGGUAUCAAUCCAAAGGGCUUUUUAGAUAACACCUGAAGCCUCAACUCACAGCCAGUAUCUUAGCAGUCAUACAUAUACACCAUUAAUUUCUGUGUAUUUUCCUCUUGUACAUAGGCAGACUUAUUUUUCCCUUGUUUUCUCAUUCAUCAAGUGUGCCUUAAUUGCCCAAACCAUCAUUUUUAUCAAUGGACUAUACUAUCUGUGAGUCAACAAGCCAUAAACUGAGCAAAUCUAUCAGUUAAAAAAUUAUGCAGUGACUCAAAUUGAUGAUCCAGUUUAUUUUUUCGAGCAUCCUCAUUGAUCUCAUCUAUGAAUCAGUUUGCUGCCAAAUAUGUAUAUGUGUGUUUCAGUUUCACUAUAAGUUAAAGAUUCAUUUUUUCAGAGAUUUCGGUAAACCAUCCUAGUUGACUUGAAGGAACUCUUCCUGAAAUACUGGUAAGUAAAUAUAAGUUUUGGAAGUUUGCUUAGGAUCUUAUUUGAAAUAAAGGCAAAGUUUUAAGUUGUCAUUUGGAUUGAGGAUUCAGAAAAGUAGUAUUAACAUUAUGGUGAAGAAUAUUUCUAGCAUGUUUAAUUACAAUAUGUGGCUAAAGUAAAACAAAUAGGCAAUAACAAAUGAUUACAUACUUGGAACAAAUGAGAAAUAUUCAAUUAUUAGAAUUUUUGUUAAAAUAUUAACAUUAUUAUCAGUAAUCUUUAACAUCAUAGGUUCAGCCUUUUAUCAAAAUUUGAAACUAAUUUUAUAAUGCUAACAUCAAUUCUACAGAACUCACCAAUACAGCAGGAAGUUAUUCAGUUUUUAUAUCUACAUUGCAUUUGUAUCUAUCUUCAAAUUUUAUUGAUUCUUUACAGAAUUAAUUUGCCUUUCUGUUGGCUACUGUAAACAUGUUUUGUUUAUACCCUGCAAUUAGAAAUAAAUAAAUAAAUAUUCUGUUAA